rnacentral:ncRNA from 1 species
UCAAAUGCGCCACCGGGUGCAAUCAACUCAAGUACAUCACCAAACUUCGUUAGGUCUAAGAAGAAGUUUGGCGGUGUACUUUUUUCGU